CUAGUCUUCGGCGGUCGUUGCAAAAGUGACGACCGGCUUUGACAGGCCGAGGA
rnacentral:ncRNA from 1 species